AUUGAACGCUGGCGGCAGGCCUAACACAUGCAAGUCGAGCGGAUGAGUGGAGCUUGCUCCAUGAUUCAGCGGCGGACGGGUGAGUAAUGCCUAGGAAUCUGCCUGGUAGUGGGGGAUAACGUUUCGAAAGGAACGCUAAUACCGCAUACGUCCUACGGGAGAAAGCAGGGGACCUUCGGGCCUUGCGCUAUCAGAUGAGCCUAGGUCGGAUUAGCUAGUAGGUGAGGUAAUGGCUCACCUAGGCGACGAUCCGUAACUGGUCUGAGAGGAUGAUCAGUCACACUGGAACUGAGACACGGUCCAGACUCCUACGGAGGCAGCAGUGGGGAAUAUUGGACAAUGGGCGAAAGCCUGAUCCAGCCAUGCCGCGUGUGUGAGAAGGUCUUCGGAUUGUAAAGCACUUUAAGUU
rnacentral:rRNA from 1 species